UACGUAGGGUCCGAGCGUUGUCCGGAAUUACUGGGCGUAAAGAGCUCGUAGGUGGUUUGUCGCGUUGUUCGUGAAAACUCACAGCUCAACUGUGGGCGUGCGGGCGAUACGGGCAGACUUGAGUACUGCAGGGGAGACUGGAAUUCCUGGUGUAGCGGUGAAAUGCGUAGAUAUCGAGAGGAACACCUGCGGCGAAGGCGGGUUGCUGGGCUGACACUGACGCUCAUGCACGAAAGCGUGGGGAGCAAACAGG
rnacentral:rRNA from 1 species